GGGAAGCCAGAAUUACUUGCAGGAGUAACCUAGUGCCUAUAGCUAUGGCAGGUACCUGCAUCCUUGUUUUUGUUUAGUGGAUCCUCUAUCCUUCAGAGACUCUGGAACCCCUGUGCUCUUCUCCUCAUCUAGUGACCCUGAGGUGAUGGAGUUUUCAAGUCCUUCCAGAGAGGAAUGUCCCAAGCCUUCGGGUAGGGUGGUGCCCCUGCAUCCCUAAAAGCUUCAGUACAGCUCGGUGGUCUGUGUCUGCAAUGCCACAUACUGUGACUCUUGACCCCCCGACCUUUCCUGCCCUAGGUGCCUUCAGCCGCUACAAGAGCAGAAGCAGUGGGCAUUGGAUGGAGCUGAGUACAGGACCAUACAGGCUAAUUGCACCGGCACAGGAAUCGGAUAUAACAUCAUCUGGGUACCCAUGGCCAGCUGUGACUUCUCCAUCCGCACCUACACCUAUGCAGACACCCCUGAUGAUUUCCAGUUGCACAACUUCAGCCUCCCAGAGGAAGAUACCAAGCUCAAGAUACCCCUGAUUCACCGAGCCCUGCAGUUGGCCCAGCGUCCCGUUUCACUCCUUGCCAGCCCCUGGACAUCACCCACUCGGCUCAAGACCAGGGGAGCGGGGAAUGGGAAGGGGCCACUCAAGGGACAGCCCAGAGACAUCUACCACCAGACCUGGGCCAGAUACAUUGUGAAGUUCCUGGAUGCCUAUGCUGAGCACAAGUUACAGUUCUGGGCAGUGACAGCUGAAAAUGAGCCUUCUGCUGGGCUGUUGAGUGGAUACCCCUUCCAGUGCCUGGGCUUCACCCCUGAACAUCAGCGAGACUUCAUUGCCCGUGACCUAGGUCCUACCCUUGCCAACGGUACUCACCACAAUGUCCGCCUACUCAUGCUGGAUGACCAACGCUUGCUGCUGCCCCACUGGGCAAAGGUGGUACUGACAGACCCAGAAGCAGCUAAGUAUGUUCAUGGUAUUGCUGUACAUUGGUACCUGGACUUUCUGGCUCCAGCCAAAGCCACCCUAAGGGAGACACACCACCUGUUCCCCAACACCAUGCUCUUUGCCUCAGAGGCCUGUGUGGGUUCCAAGUUCUGGGAGCAGAGUGUGCGGCUAGGCUCCUGGGAUCGAGGGAUGCAGUACAGCCACAGCAUCAUCACAUGUUGCGCCUUUGUCUCCUUGCCUUUGUCCUUACCCUAGAACCUCCUGUACCAUGUGGUCGGCUGGACCGACUGGAACCCAUCAUUGUAGACAUCACCAAGCACACGUUUUACAAACAGCCCAUGUUCUACCACCUUGGCCACUUCAGCAAGUUCAUUCCUGAGGGCUCCCAGAGAGUGGGGCUGGUUGCCAGUCAGAAGAACGACCCGGACGCAGUGGCACUGAUGCAUCCCGAUGGCUCUGCUGUUGUGGUCGUGCUAAACCGCUCCUCUAAGGAUGUGCCUCUUACCAUCAAGGAUCCUGCUGUGGGCUUCCUGGAGACAAUCUCACCUGGCUACUCCAUUCACACCUACCUGUGGCGUCGCCAGUGAUGGAGCAGAUACUCAAGGAGGCACUGGGCUCAGCCUGGGCAUUAAAGGGACAGAGUCAGCU
ensembl:lncRNA GBA1LP glucosylceramidase beta 1 like, pseudogene